GAAACCUCUGUGGCCAGUGGUGCCUUAGCCUGAGUUUUACUAGGGCCCACAGGGCUUGUUCUACCCACUUGGCCUGGUAGUCUGCACUUGGCUAGCACUACCAGCCCAGAUCCCAUGCCUCUGAAGACACUAGAGCCAGGGGUGGAGUGGCAAGGGAUGUGUGAGUAGCUCUUUCAGUUCCACCAUUUGGCAGGUCCCAAGUUUUGUCCCACAUCCGGGAAGAACAAGGUAUGCAGACAACUGGAGGGUGAGCAAGGUGAAGAAGUGCUUUAUUGAGCGACAGUACAGCUCUCAGGAGACCUGAAGUGGAUAACUCCUUUUGACAGGCAGGUUGUUCCAACAAGUGUGCAGCCCUCAGUGGAGGGGAGUCCAGUAGCACCUAUCCACAGGACACCUUGGACCAGCUUGGUUGUAAUUCUAGAUUUUACUGUCAUCCCACCCAGCUUCUUCCUUCAUCAACAUGCAAGUUCCUUUCUUUCUCUGUCAGCCAAAUAAGCAUAUAGGAGAAGCAGGAGAGGCCUGCGUUGUCAGUGGUUUUCAAUUAUUUGAUAUGAAAGGGGCAGCGUGGUCGUUUAAACUUGAUCCAGCCUCUUUGCAUCUUAAAAAGUUGAACAGCUACAAGAAGCAAUGCUCGUGGAAGAUCCAGCAAGGAGCGUCCCAGAUGGAGUACAUGGAGACCGUGACUGUGAAAGAUGAGGAUCAAGUGCAGAUUUGGUGGCCUCUGAUUGCCAGUAUCUGGCAGCCACAUUCUCUUCCCACAAGAUGUGCUGGAAAUAUGACCAGGCAGAAGUUCACUUAAGUGAAUCCAACAGUUAAACCUACCAUGGAAGGGUGUGGUGCACAGAGGGCGUGUGAAGAAGAGAAGACCACAGUGGGAACCUCCAAGGAAUUAACAUCUAGCUGGGGAUGAGGGGGGAUUUGGCUAUGUAGAGAGUAAAUAAAGUGAUAUUAGAAUUAAA